rnacentral:tRNA from 1 species
GGAGCGUUGCCUGAGUGACUUAAUAGGGACUGACUUAGGAUCAGUUGUGCGUGCUGUAAUCACGCACCGAGGGUUUGAAUCCCUCACGCUCCGCCA